AAACCAUGGUGUGGACACUUUCUCAGUAGUUCCUUAUAUCUUUCCCAAGCUUCAUAAAGGGACUCAGUCUCUUCCUAUAGAAACGAUGUGAUAUAUCAUUUCUCAUCUU